UUUUCUUUUUCUAUGAGAUUUUGUGCUUUUUCUUCAUUUGCUUCAUCUGCUUCACUUCUAAGUUUUAACACAUUUUUCCCAGUAAUGUAGGGGAAAGAAGGGGAUUUAUUUCAGUUUUUUUGGGAUCAACUUAUUAGUGUAAUAAAAAGAAACAUUUACGUUAUCUAGCUAAUUUGGCAUCUGGGUAUUUUUCUAGUUUUCUCUGUUAGCAUAUGUUGUUGUUUCUUAUACUUCAAUUAUCAUAUUAUUUUGUUGUAUUUAUUUGUGUCGAGGUCU
rnacentral:lncRNA from 1 species